CCAGCCACAUCUUCUUUCUUCCCUCUCCUUCUUCAACCUCCCGCCUGCCCCAUCAAGCUGACCCGUUGCUCCUCUUCCCUUUUUCUACAGCAGCCACAGAUGCAGGCCCGUACGGCGCACCUGUGCAGAGUGUUCGACUGCACAGGGCCCCCAAAUUGACAGGGCCCCAAAUUUUCUAGAGCAUUGAUGACUAGUUUAGGUGUGGGUAAUCAACACAUCAGCAAAUACACGUUGGAACCUGGAACGAAAUAACUCCAAGGCGGAGGCCCAGUCUCACGCACGUCUCCUCCUCUUCUCUCUCCGUUCUCUUUCACUUCUAGCUCAAAUCCCUUUCUCUCCCCAUGGUCCAAUCACACCACCAAAGGUCUCGAUUCUAUUCCAUUCCAGUGGACCAAUUCCUUCGUAUUUCCCCCAAAACUAAUCUCUGUAUUCAAUGAGUUGUCCCAUUGUUGCUUGCUGCUGGUCCUGCGACCUGGGUGCAUUGAUCGGAGUUGGAGGUAUGCCACAAGCGCUAGGUUGCCGAUUAACCAAGACGAGGAACCGGAAGACCCUAGCCAUGUUGCCACCAAAUGGUGUUCCUUCCAAAUAAAUCAAAGGUUGUUUCAUCAAAUUUCGUUUCUAUAUUAAGUUUUAAUGCAUGAUAUUUGCAUCCUAUUUUUUUAUUUCUGAAAGUAUUCUAGUUCUAUAAUUACGAAUCUUGAGUCAAUUUAUGAAAAACCUAAGAAAAAAAAACGAAAUUCGACCUUGAAAAUGUGCUCUUGAUAAGUUUUUACCAAAAGGAUCAAAGUUUCUUGUGAAAA